CUGGCAUUUCGGAACGACCACUGCUGAGAAGAAAUAAAUAAAUAUAUUAGGACAAAUCACAAAAAAAAAGAAAAUAAACUCAUUCAAACAGCGUUGGUCCCUAUCAUGCCUUUGUAUUGCGCAGUAUGCCAGGCUUACCAUUUUGUAUGCUGUUGUCAAAAUUGCAAGUUUCGAAGAUGCAAUUGUAACAGGAAUGGUAAAAAAAAUGCCAAAAUGUAAAAGAUUGAAUUGCGAUGCAGCGGAAAUUAUUAGCAAGACUGUGGAGCUGGGGGCUACCAUGAAACAUACAACACGCCAUUGCGUCCAUCCGUUCUCUCUUUCACACGAUGCGUACACGGUAUGCGAAAACGAGACAGCAUGUUGCCGUUAGUAACGUGCGACGUGCUUGUAUCCUUCGUGGUAGGCCUUCAGUUAUAUCUAAAAAGGAGUUGAUAUAUUUUAACUAAAUUAAUUUGUUACUAUUAAAAUGUAAAAUAUUCUGAAAUGUGAUCCCAUUAUCAAAGCGGAGUGGAGUUGGUUUUAAUUUGUUUGAGUGUUUGUACAAUCAACAGAACAUAAAGCUACCCAGCAUCAUUGCAAAUUCGUCCCUAUUACUGUCACAUAGAGUACCAUAUAGUGUAGCUUGACAUUCAUUUUAUUGUACAUGUUUUAACUACAGUCUCAGAAAACUGAUUUUUCGAAAUAAUUUUUUUUUCUGUUGCAAUACCAAAUUGGAAUUAAAAGUCAUGAAACUAUUUAGGUACAGUCUGUCAAGAAAGUGAUGAAAACUAAAACUAUUUUUUUUUGCAUUGCAACACCAAAUAAAAUUAACAUGAUUGGUUGAUAAACCCAGUGUUGCCAGCCAACAGAACACAGCGCCCUUAUUUAUUUGCUACUUUUUAUAAGCAGACUGUAUAUUUUAUCAUAGAAAUAUACACAUUAAUCCUAUACUAUUCAUUAAAAAGAUAAGCAUACUUUUUACUUUACUAAGCUAAAGUAUGUUUAGUCUUGUUCUGUUAAUGCGAAAUUUUGUAAAGUGCUAUAGUGACACAACAUACUUUAGCUUAUAGUAUGCUGUAUAUUUGUUAUGAAUAAAAUGGUAAAAAUAUUAAUAUAAAUAAAAAAUAAUCUGAUUCUAAUUAAAUGUUAUUAGUAUUGAUGGAUUAAUUUAUGAAACACAUGUGAUUGUGACUGUACUUACGGUGGUUCUCGAACUUCUCGAGAAUGCGCGGACACGGCGAGGAAAUGUUCUCGGUAAUUCUAGAAAAAAAUAUUCAUAACGUUCCCUUUAAAUUAUCAAUGAGAAUUUUCUUGAAAUUCUGCGGGAAUUUUCAUGGGAGGAAAUUUUCGAGAACACAAUUUCUCUGUGGCACUUCGCAAAUUUUGUUCGCUCUGCUCCGUAUAAAAAAAGUAUUUAUGACGGCACAAAUUGACACAAUAUAUUUGUAUAAUAAUUUAAUUGUAUCGUGUUUAAUUUAUUAGUUGAUUAGUUCAGUUGUUUAAUAAAAAAUAUAAAAGUUG